rnacentral:rRNA from 1 species
AACGAACGCUGGCGGCAGGCUUAACACAUGCAAGUCGAGCGCCCCGCAAGGGGAGCGGCAGACGGGUGAGUAACGCGUGGGAAUCUACCCAUCUCUACGGAAUAACGCAUGGACACGUGUGCUAAUCCCGUAUACGUCCUUCGGGAGAAAGAUUUAUCGGAGAUGGAUGAGCCCGCGUUGGAUUAGCUAGUUGGUGGGGUAAAGGCCUACCAAGGCGACGAUCCAUAGCUGGUAUGAGAGGAUGAUCAGCCACACUGGGACUGAGACACGGCCCAGACUCCUACGGGAGGCAGCAGUGGGGAAUAUUGGACAAUGGGCGCAAGCCUGAUCCAGCCAUGCCGCGUGAGUGAUGAAGGCCCUAGGGUUGUAAAGCUCUUUCACCGGUGAAGAUAAUGACGGUAACCGGAGAAGAAGCCCCGGCUAACUUCGUGCCAGCCGCCGCGGUAACAC